AGUUCAGAAAAGCAAAGCCGCUCCGGCGGGCAACGGGGCUCGCAUUCAAACCAAGACGGGCACAACCAGGGGAAGGCGAGGCUGGCCCUGCUGGAUCGUCUCCCCAGCUCGGGUCUGGCUGCAGGCCUCCGCCCCACGUCCCUGAUGAGCGCCGCGGCUCCGGGCCUUCCUGGGCACAGCUGCAGCCCUGCGCAGGAGCGGAGAGCCGGCUGGGAGCGAAAGCGCCACAGGAGAGCCGAGGAGCUGCUCCAGAGCGAAGGGAAAUACCUGGAGCAGCUCGAAGGAGUGGCUACGGGAGAUCAGGGAGGAGAGAGGCCUUGCUGAGGGCGCACCCCGAGUGAGCGCCCCGUGUUUAGGGACCUCUCCUUUGGAACAGCGGACCCGCAGGUUUCCAAGCCACACUUCCGAACUGCAUUUUCCGGGAGCUGUUAAACAUGCCUCCUCAGAGAAACAGUAGGGGAUGAGUAAGACCACACUACCCCAAAAGGGUGAGUGGACAUUGAUUAUAAUUGAGUUAAUUGAUACUUGUUUUUAAUCUUUAUUAAAACUGGAAAUGGAGUCUCUGGAAAUGAAGUAACAUGUAAGUUGCACAAGUAAAUAAAUGCAUUUAUGUCUAAUACAGUACAAGUUUACUUCCACUUA